GGAGGGUGCAAGCGUUAUUCGGAAUCACUGGGCGUAAAGAGCGCGUAGGCGGUUUCUAAAGUCAGAUGUGAAAGCCCGGGGCUCAACCCCGGAAGUGCAUUUGAAACUUAGGGACUUGAGUAUGGGAGAGGGAAGUGGAAUUCCUGGUGUAGCGGUGAAAUGCGUAGAUAUCAGGAGGAACACCGGUGGCGAAGGCGACUUCCUGGACCAAUACUGACGCUGAGGCGCGAAGGCGUGGGGAGCAAACAGGAUUAGAUACCCUGGUAGUCCACGCAGUAAACGUUGAACACUAGGUGUAGCGGGUAUUGACCCCUGCUGUGCCGCAGCUAACGCAUUAAGUGUUCCCGCCUGGGGAGUACGGCCGCAAGGCUA
rnacentral:rRNA from 1 species